UUGUUCAAGAGAUUCCAUCUGAUGAAAACUGAUGUGGCUCAUUCUCUUUUGGUUGGAUGUAAAAUACACUACUGUGAGCACUCUGAACCUCUUGGCCAUCCACCUCUGAUCAUCUCUCUCCACCUGAAGCCUCUGUGCCUUCUCUCUCCACACCAUUAACAAGAAGAAGAUGAAUGAGAAUUGAAAGGCCCACAGGGGGGUGACUUUUUACCAACACUGUUCCUCUAGGCUGCCAUGGGGUGUUUCAUCACAACCACGUGGCAUUCCAGGCCCUGAACCAGAUGGGAAGACACAUAAGGGACUGGUACAACGAGCACUGACAAGUUUCCAAAAAUCCACAAGAAGUUCUUUUAUCAGUUUAGCUUUCAAUAUUUGUUUUGUCAAAUUCUGCUGUUACAUUUUUGUUGCUCAGCAACAAUAACAAUUGAGGUUCAGAUAAGGCACUAAAAGACAACCAUGCAAUUCUUUAGUAUUUGCUUAACUCAGUAAUUUUGUAAACUGAAAAAGAACACUGAGUCGAAACCCUCAGCCAGUAGUGGCCUUGUAAACUGGCACCUCACCAGUACUGGAGUUGGCUCGGCUACACCCACUUUACCCCAUCAUAGUUGCUUUAGAGUCUACCAGAUGGUAGCAGUUUCUACAUUUGACAUUUUGACUCAUUUUGGCCAGUUAAGUCAUGACCAACACACGAAACACUCAUGUACAGUGACUCAGGCCACCAACAUUACAUUGUGCUCUUAAGAAGGCCUUAAGAAAUUACUUUAUUAUGGGGACCAGUAAGAAAUGCAUCAUGUGUUUGGUAUGUCAGACAUUGUUUGACCCAAAGAGACCCUCUGCUUUACAUCUUGGCAUGACUGCUGCAAUGCAUCAUUGAUUGUUGUAUGUUUUGUUUUUUUUUUUUAAAUCUGAGAUUACAUCCCUGCUGAGAUUAAAUUACUGAUAUCAAAGGCUCCUUCUAUUUACCAACAUGCGUCAUACCCAUUGAUCAAAUCACAUUUUAGCUCAGCGAGAUAGUAACAACCUGAGGAAUAGACGGAUGUGUCCACAGUAAUACAGACUUGCCAACCAGGCUGAACAGAAUCUCUCCAAUCACAUAAAGCGCAGCCAAACUACACAGAACUAACUGCCAGAUUUACUUAAGCAUUUUAUCUCAAAAUAUUACAGAACUGGCAAUGGGGGCCCCAUUACAACAUCUGACUGACAUGUUAGCAGCUUCCAAAACCACAGAGAGAGUUCCAGUGGAAGUACUGUAGGCUACCAUGAUCCAGAGAAUGACUGUUAAAUCAGUGGAAAAGAGCCUGGACCAUAAUCCUCUGUUUCUUUGAAACACAACGAGCUGAAGCAAUGUCCUUUGGGAUGUUUUAUGAUCCAAUAGAAAUAUAGUGCCACUCAUGUGAAGAGACUUACAAGACCUAUGCUUGGCAGCUUUGUUUGCUCUUCAUUGCUGCCACAUCCAUACUGCUGAGAAGAAGAGGACAAUAUGCUGCUAUUCAUGAAAGAAUCAGCUCUGCCAAAUGACAUAUGAGCCAAAAAGCCACAGUUGCUAAGGUGACGCCCCCACAGACGAGAGGCCUGCAGCGAGCAGGAGGGAGAUCAAUCACCGCUGACAUUACAGUGGCCUGUGAGGACCAUCGUUUUGAUCCAAACAAAAUAAGAGAGUGAAUGCUGGGAGAACCACAUGGAGACACCAGAGCUGGGCAGGGACACCAGGAUCCAUGGCCCAUAGCCAGCUGGAGCCAGCCUGGGUUGACAACGUGUUCCCACAGCCGGGACACUGUGGCACCAAUGGGCCAAAGGAAAGUAUGGGGGAGGAAGAGGAGAUGACUGUACACAGCUACAGCUGAGGUGUCACUGACAAAGCAGGACUGCCCAGCCAACAUACAACCAAGAAGAUGAAUGAACUUGGUAACAGUC